rnacentral:rRNA from 1 species
GGGCGGUAAAGUGUGCGCAGGCGGUUCUGUAAGUCAGAUGUGAAAUCCCCCGGGGCUUAACCUGGGGAACUGCGUUUUGAAAACUGCAGAGCUAGAGUGCGGCAGAGGGGAGGUGGAAUUCCAUGUGUAGCAGUGAAAAUGCGUAGAGAUAUGGAAGAACAUCGAUGGCGAAGGCAACCUCCUGGGCUAGCACUGACGCUCAUGCACGAAAAGCGUGGGGAGUAAACAGGAUUAGAUACCCUGGUAGUCCACGCCCUAAAACUAUGUCAACUAGUUGUCGGGUCUUAAUAGACUUGGUAACGUAGCUAACGCGUGAAGUUGACCGCCUGGGGAGUACGGUCGCAAGAUUAAAAACU